UCCCCGUGCGUGCCUGACAGAGGGGUGAGGGAGGGAAUGGUGGGAAAGCAGAGAAAAGGGGCCGCGGCUCUCCAGGCGUGGGCAUUUGCAGAUCCAGGAGAGACAUUGUCUCACGUAGGUUUUGUAAGACAAGGGAAGGAGACAGGAACAGUGUGUGUGUGUGUGUGACGUGUGGUAACGCCUGCCUGUGUGUGUGUGUGAUGUGUGGUCUGCACAUUUGGGUCCUGUUGUGCAUGCAUGGUAAUGUGGUAGAAAGAAACGUGGUGUCCCUGUUGUAAACAAGUUGAGAAAAAAUCCUGGGGUUUUGUAGUGUAGUUUGUAUGUGUUGUAUGUGCCCACACAAAAGCAGGACAUGGCUGCGAUUUGGUACAACUUUGUGUGUCACCCAGUGUGCAAGAGACAUCAAGAUAAAAACAUUGCAUGUGUGGUGAAACUGUGGUUUUUUGUAGGUGACUGUUGUGUGACUUUUGUGAUCAUUAUAUUUGGAUUGUGCUGAGAAAGAGGAACUAAUUUGUAGGGGACAUAAUGAGUGUAUAUUCAGGACAGACAAAGACAUCCUGGUGGCAUUGGGCUUUGGUCUUUGAAGGAUGUCUGAGAGUUCAUGAGGCCAGACAGAAUGUUCAUGAGGCCAGAAGGAAAGACACCGGGAAUCCUGCCUACCAGCCAACAGAGGGAUCCUCAGAGAUCAUCUCCUCUAAACAGCUUUCUGGGAACAGCCAGCCAUAAGAAACACUAUGUGCCAGACACUGUGGUAGGUGCUUUGCUGCAUUAUCUGACUGAUUCGGACAAUUCUAUAUGGUUGAUGCUAUGAUUCCCACAUCAUCUCCAUAUUGCAGGUGAGAAAAUCAAUGUUCAGAGAGAAAAAGUGAUUUGCCCCAGGAGACACAGCUAGUUUGAGGGGCUUUGCUCCUUUGCUGUCGUGCAGCUGUUUCUGUUGGCAUUCGUGGGCUCGCCAUGCCCUCAGACAGACACAGGUGGUUGUAUGACAGGAGAAGUUCUCCCUUGUUAGACUGCUGGAGACUGGAUGAGAUGUGGGGAGGCGUCCCUUCCAAAUACUCAAGCCUCUGGGCACAGGGUCUGCCCAGUUGGAGCAUCAGGGCUCAAACACAGAAAGCCAACCUGAACUGGCCAGAGCCAAAAAGAAAGAACUUCUUUGCCUGUGUAACUGCAAAGUACAGGGGCAGAGCUAGCUUUAGGCAUGGCUCCCAGAGGAGCUCAGAUGAUGUCAUUAGGAUUCAGUCUCAUUUCCUCCAUCUCUGAAGACCGCCUCCCUCCCUGUUGGCCUCAUCUCUUGGACUCGUGAUGAUAAGGUGACAGCCAGCAGCAGUGGCUCACAUCCUACUGUCUUAUCAACUCCCAACAGAAACAGGGACUCACUUUUUCCUACAGUUCUAAUAACAUUCCCAAAACUGAGUCUCGUCCACUGUCACUGAGACGUGUGUCAAUUCCUCUGCCAAUCACUGUGGCCAAGGGUUCUGAUUAGCUAGGGAGUGAGACCCUGGAGAUACCUGGCAUUGUAGUUUAGGUGUGGGUUUCCAGCCAUUUAGCCUUAGGAUUUACCAGGAUCCAAAAGGAAUCUCCUAGAAUGUGUGGAGAGACAAUUCACAGGUGUUAAAUGGCCAUGGCUAUGACUGGCAUUAUUCUUCCUCUGCUUUGCCUCUGUCAUCUUGUACAGGAUAGAUGUUUGGUAAUGACUGGUCCAUAGUAGGUGCCCAGAGAAUCCCUUUGGUUUGGCUGAUUUUUUGCUUUUGGAGUAAUGCCAUGUGCCAAGUCAGAUAGAGGCUGGACACGCUGAGCGACCCACAGGCACACAGACAGAAUGAAACUCGCUGUUAAGAGCUUUUUAAUUUUUAAUGUUGUUUUGUCUUCUAUAACUGAGCUGAAAUACUGUUUUGGGCACCGGGGGAAAUCCUGACUCUCCAAGAAACAGAAACCAGCCUGUCUGAGAAGAUACAGUCACGAAGACGGCAGAAGAAGCUCUGAAGAGGCUGGCAGGGGAGGGAAGUCCAUGCUCAGAAGCAGGGCGCAGGCAGGCAGAGCUAGUUAGGCCCAAUGAGGCUCUUCCUGACUCAUCCAACCCUGCAGCGAGGUGGGCAGGAUCCCUCCCCCUGCCUUGGGCCCCUGGUGAAAGACAGGAUCAGGCCAUCCCACCUGACCCCUUUCUUGUGUCUCCUUGGGCCACCAAUUACUGAUUCAACUGGGCAGUUGAGUUUCUGGGAAGGACAGAGACCCAGGAAUUCCAACAAUAGCUGCUAGUUAUCAAGUCUGUGUGGGCACCAUCCUGGGAACUUUACAUGAUUUAAAUACAAGAGCAAUGGAA